rnacentral:rRNA from 1 species
CCCUACGGGGUGCAGCAGGGCAUGGUUGAGAACCGAGCCAAGCCCGUAUUUUUUCUGACCACCCGAUUCAGCGGCGACUUCAACGGCCUCGGAGAUGGCAAUCCCCAGCGAACCAGGAUGGUUCGGGUCUUUUUCCAGGUAGGACUGGCCAAUUUUCGUAUGGGCCGAAGGGCUUGGGAAGAUUUGCGCGCCAUAGGUUUGCAUGAUGAUGCGGCGGUAAGGCUUGGCCAGGUACGAGGAAUUGACCAUGUACACUUCCACGCUAAUGGCGAACAUCUGGCCGGCCAUGGCCAGCGCCGAACCCCACAGGCCAG